rnacentral:rRNA from 1 species
UACGUAGGGGGCAAGCGUUGUCCGGAUUUAUUGGGCGUAAAGAGCGUGUAGGCGGCCUGAAAGGUCAGCUGUGAAAACUCGAGGCUCAACCUCGAGACGCCGAUGGAAACCAUCAGACUAGAGUCCGGAAAGAGGAGAGUGGAAUUCCUGGUGUAGCGGUGAAAUGCGCAGAUAUCAGGAAGAACACCCGUGGCGAAGGCGGCUCUCUGGGUCAAGAUUGACGCUCAUGCACGAAAGCGUGGGGAGCAAACAGG